CAAAAAGGUAAGGAAGUAGCUGGCCUUAAAAGAUCCUCCUUUUACACAGCCUUGUCAAAAAAGACAGUCUUUUUAAAGAUGAGGGAAGGAGUGAAUGUGAAUGUGACUGUGAUUGUGAGAGUGAUUCUAUGAGAAAGAUGUACUCUUUCUCCCUUUCAUGAUUCCCUCUUGUUUGGUUAUUCCUAUUUCUUCCCCUUCUUAUUUAUUUUAAAUACAUGAUUUAUUUUACGAUUGACUUCAAUUUUGCAUCCACGUACUAAUUCCAUUCAUUUUUAUUCUACUCGGUUACUUCAUCAUUUUGAUUAUGAGAUCUGGGUUUAGAAGAAAUUUUGUGUUUAUGGAAUUUUUUUUUGCAAAUUUAUCUAGUGAUUAAUUAAAUUUUAACGUAAUUUUGCGGGGUUGAACAUAAAUUGUAUGAUGAAUUGGGUUAAGGGCUCUGGAGGCAGCGGUUCAUCGAUCUGUUCCUGUUCUUGAUUUGGGAUUUCUUUAGGUUUAUUGCAGUAAUUGAUCGAUAAACCUCUGCAUCCAGCGCUCAACUCCUCUUUCUUAAGAUAAUUAACUUCUUAAAUCUGAAGGAAAAUGCUGGGAUGAUGAAACUUAUGAAGCAGAAACUUCUACUAAGGUUUUUCUUUCUUUUCUGUUUUAAUGGUUAAAUUUCUAUGUAUUGUUUGUUUAUGAUUUUGUUUGUUUUUCCCAUUUUGUGUUUUCUUGAGUUUUAUAUUUUGUAUAUAUACUUAGAAUUUGAUACUAUAUUACUCUAUCCCUUUCAUUUUAUACCAACAAUUAAAAGUUGCUGUUUUAGUUUGUAGUACGAGAAUCAUCUGCUAAUCUAGUAGUUAUAGGUGCCGAUAGGGGUUGAUUCUCACAAACUAUGAGAAGGUAAAUUCCUUCUUCUCCUCUUAGAAAUUAGUGUUUGUAGGUCAGUGAUAAGGGUUUGAUUCUGAUGACCUACUAGAAAGUCAAUUUCUUCUCCCUUUUGGGUAUUUUCUUUACCCUAAAAUUCAAAAGAAUUCGUAGUGCGAGAAAAUGCUUAGAAAUCAAGUGGUUGGAUGAAAUAGGUGGAUGAGAUGAAGAGUGAGAACGACUUUGUGGAAUGAGGUUGGGAGAUAAAUUCUAGACAAGAACUAAAUUAUUGUAGUCAAAACGAAGGGAUGAUCUAAAAUAAAAAGUUUACUAAGAUUACGGCCAGCGGGAGUAAUUAGGAUAUGAUUCUUAUUUUUAUGAUAUGUGCUUGUAGCUUUUGUUUCUUGUAUUUCAUUCAGCUGAGCUUUUGUUUAUAUUCAAUAUUUGUGUUGACAUUACUUGUAUUAUUGUAGAGUUAAUUAAUGGAUGUAUAAAUUAAUGGGUAUGGAAAAAAUUUUCGGAUGUUAUUAACAAAGUACUGCAUUAUCAUACUUGAGGAUAUAUCAAUAGGUAAAGAACAUCUCAUGUUGGUUUGUUUUCAUUUAUUUAGUCGUAUAUGUUGGGAUUAAGGUUUUGCUGUUGUAUUGUAGCCAAACAAUUUGUUGUGAAUCAGGAUUGAAAACUGAUAUACUCCUAUAAUUUAUUGUGGUUUUCUCAUAUUUUCUCAAUUCUAAGUUAUAUCUUAUUAACUCAUAAGUUAUCUUUCAAAGCAUAUGCGGAUGUCCUUUUGGACUAUGUAUUUGAAGGCGUGUUUAGUAAGUCAAAGCAUAUAAUGGUUUUUUGUAGUAUCUUGCAAGUUGCAAUUCUGAAGUGUCUUGCAAGUUGCAUUAGUUAGUCAUUGGUAGUUAUGGAUUUUUGUUGAAAAAUUUGUCUAGAAGAGAAAAUUGAUCUUGAAAAUCUGAUUGAAGAUGGAUUUCACUAAGUUCCCUUUUUAGCUAAUAUAAUUAUGAUGUAAGUGUAGUUUUUAGUGCUGGAUGAGGUUGUAAGAAAGGACAGGGAUAAUAUUGAAGAGGCAUCUAAACAUGCGACUUAAAACAUAGUUUCGACUUUCAAGCAUCCUAAAAGGCUCGUGCACGGUGGGGGGGCUUGAUAAUGUCUAAUGCUGGUUAUUUAUGUAUAGACUUAAGUUGAGGAGGUGUGGCACUCACUGUCACAACUAGUGAUGGACCUCUCAAGGCAAGACAAGAACAGAAAAUGACUAAGUGAGAAGUCACACUCCAUGUCUUAUUAACUAUGCAUAGUAUAAUUCUAGGGGAAAUGGAAAAUAGUCAGUCUCGAUUUCGGGUGGGUGGGUGGGGAAGGACUCUAGCAAAUUGUUCUUAGAAACCAUGAUGGAGCUUUUGAUUUCUUUUCUAGCAAUGCAUAAGAACAAGAUUCCUAAAUCAAAUAAUAAUCUCAAGUCCAUGACAUAAUGCUCUUUUCUUAGUAUUUCCUUUCAUAUGCACUAAAAAGUUUCUUUGAAUUCUUGAUACUGUGAGGAAUUAAACCCCCACUACUAUAAGAUCAAAGGUUUAUGCUUCAAGAAUUGUUUUGCACAAACAACACCAAAACAUAAUUCAACACAAAACAAUCAAGAAUCCUAAUCUAAGCAAUGAAAGAGCAAACAAACCAAACAUAAUGAUUUACAUAAUUCACCCUUAAUUGGGCUACGUCCACGGUUUAGCCUAUGUCUUUAUUGCCUUAAGGAACCUCUAAUGGAGUUACAAUAGUGAUAAUCACAAUUGAGAGAAAUAAGAGAAUAAGGAGAGAAAGAGAGAGAGACGAUUAGAAAGCAUUAGUCACUAAUCUAUGUAAUUAGGCCUAUGUAUAAUACAUAGAGCCUAAUUACUUACAUACAAGAGCUGAAAACGACGAUGUAUUAGAGUUCGAACAAUUUGUUUCAAACUCCAAUAUUACCAAGAUCGAGUGUAUGAAGUUUUAGUGACAAACAAAUUACGCUAUCAAUGAUAUCAAUGUUUGUAGGAGAAAAUAAAGCAAUAAAACAACACAAAGAUUUAACGAGGUUCACCCAACUAAGGCUACGUCCUCCGGUGUGUAGUAUCCCUUAUAUUAUCAAAAGGAGUUCAAAGAACUCUCAAAUAUGGAGAAUUACAAUAGAGAAGAGAUAUAGGCUAGUGUUUGGCUUGAGGUGUAUUUGUGGAUGUUUACAAUGAGAUUGAGAGCUCUCUAUUUAUAGGAGAGAUCACACUAAGUUACAUUAAGUACAUUAAUGCUAUGAUUAAAUGAUAAUGAAACAUCCCUAAGUACAUAAAGAGUCAUAAAACAACAUUCUAGAGUAUCAGAGACUUCGCUCGACCAAAACAAGGGUUCGCUCGGUCGAGCGACUUGGUCGAGCGGACUUCAAUAAGCUUCUGGUUGCAUUCUGUUUGCUCGCUCGACCUAACCCUGAGCUCGCUCGGUCGAGCGAGCUGGUCGAGCGGCCCUUCAGAAGGCUUCUGACAGUAUUUGCUCGACUUGCAUAGUAGAGCAUCUUGAUUCAACCUUUCCACUUCUUCAUUAAGUCUCAUAACUCUCACACUUCAUUACCUUAUUAAUCCAUACUUAAUCACCAUCAUAAAUCAAUCAUCAAAACCUAACUUAAUACACCCACAUUAACACAUUCAUGGGAUUCCAUCCCAAAGGUUACACAUGAAUGCACCUCAUCAAAUGUGCUCUCAAGUCACACCAAUCACAACAAGAGCCUAGGAAAGAGAAGCCGAGAAGAAAAGAACAAAUAAGAAUUCUAGCACAUAACGCCGAGUCGGCUUUCCCUUGGCCAGGGAAAAGUUGACUCAGCUUUUAUUUCUGCCUCAAAACCCAAUUUUGCCUUUUCACGCCUUUUCACCUCUUUGUUACCAAUACAUACCUACAAUGGAUUAAGGGUCAUAGUCACCCCUUAAUCACAACACACUAGCCAUGUUUUUUAUAACUUUUAUAUCAUGAGCAAGAUUUAUUUUGGCCGAAUUUUCUAUCUCUUCUGUGCUUCUGUCAAUUAGGAUGAAAUCUGCUAAUAAUUUUAAUUUAUUGGUUUCAUUGUCUUAAGAAAAGCCAAUUGAUGUUGUUUUUCCUUUGGUUGAGAUGAGACCAUAUUUGCAAGGAAAAAUAACAAAAAACUACUUAAUUUAUAGCACCUUUUGCAAAAACUAUUUAAUCUAAUUUUUUAUUUUUUUGCAAAAAAAUCUCCAUUUUCUGAUGUCCUUUUCUUCUUUCGAGUUCCACUUAGAGAAUCUACAUCCUAAUUUUCUUCUUUAUUUUUCUUCUUCUGAGUUCCAUCUACAACAUUCUCUUUUUUCUUCUUCUAAAAGAAAAUCCCCAACACUAUCAAGAACCCUAAAAUGUAGCACAAAAACAAACGAAGAUUAAAAAUUUAAUGCUCUUAACAGAAGAAUCACAAAAAUUAGGAGGGAGAUUACCAAAUAAUUGGUUAUUUGAAGCAGAGAAUCUGUAUAAGCUCUUAACUAAUCUAAUUCCCUGAAGAAUUAUACUAAUAAAGUUGUUAUUAUCAAUCUAAACUUGCUCUAAUUGGGUUGAAAUUGAUAUAGAUUCAGGAAUUUCGCCAGAAAAUAUAUAUUUGGGAAAACCCCACUAAGCUUAUUGGAUGAAACAUCAAAACCAACCAAACUUCUCAAUGAAUCACCCAGAUUCUUGGGAAGUUCACCAGUUAGAUUAUUUUGAGAAAGGUCAGGAACUUUUAGAUUGUUUUAGCCCAGAAUAGUGUCGGGAAUCACCCUAAAAAAUCCAAAACUUUGUAGAGAAAGCAAGAGCAAUAAGUUGAGUGAAGUUACUAAAAAUCCUAGGAAGAUUACCAACAAGCAAAUUAUUAGCAAAGUUAAGAACUUGCAAAUCAUGUAAUAACCCAAUGCUUUCUGGGAUUUUACGUUCUAUAUGAUUUCUACUUAAAUCAAGCUUUUUCAAUGAAGAAAAAUGAGAAAUCUAUUCUAGGAUAGUACCCAAUAUAAGAUUACUUCUAAGACUUAGACUUACUAAAGACUCACAUUGAGAGAAAUGAAGUGGGAUUCGUUGAUUGAAGAGAUUAUCAGCAAGAUUAAGGGAAGAAAGAUUAGGAAGCUGACAUAUUGAAGGAGAGAAUUCACCUGAAAGAUUGAGACUUUGAAGGUCAAUUGUAAUAACAGACAAAGGAGUAUUAGAACAGGUGAUUUCAAUCCAGUUACAGUGAUGAGUAAGUGAAGUAUUAGACCAAGAAGAAAGAAAAUGAGAAGAGUCUUUAAUGGAGGAUUUGAAAUUAAGAAUGUCAGAUGCAGAUAUUGUAGAUGUAUUGAUUAUGGGAAUAAGAAGAUCAGAGAAUGGAAAAGGAGAAUAACUCUCACGUGCAAAGUCAACGUCCCACUUGACAGUCAACAGACGGUUUCCGUCAAGUGGUAGUCUUUUGAAAACCAAAAUAUCAUAUAAGGUAGUUUUUUGCAAUAAAAAUUAGAUUAGGUAGUUUUUUUUUGCAAAAGGUGCAUAUGAACGAAGUAGAUGCCAUAUGGUUGUUUUUCCUUUCCCUUUUCAGCCCAUGUAAUACUGGUGAAUGGUAUGUACAGGAGGGAGCAUGAUAGCAUUGAACCUUUAUUGAGCUAAUCCCACAAAACAGAUACAUGAUCUUCAAGAAUGUAGUCACAAUAAAGACUUUCAUGAGUAGGUGUUAUGCAAAUAAUUUUAUAUUGAUUCAAGAACUUCGUUGUGUAGAAACAAACAGCGAUUUUGAGGCUUUAUAUCUUUUCUUAUGAAAGGGCUUCGGAUUAUAUUAUGUAGUCUGUUCUGAAACAUACAGAUGUUUGUGGGUACAAAUUUUGGCUUGCUCUAUGUAUGUUUUAGGUAAAGUAGUGGUCUAGGCUAGAAAAUGCUUCAAGCGUUAAUCAUAUCUUGUUUGGUUUUAAGACAUAGUUACACACAAUAACAAUUUGACCACUAUGUCAUUGUCUCUGUGUAUCGUGUUGCUUUAUAUUAUCUUUUAUGAUACUUAUCAGGGUAGUAACAGGCAUAAUCCUUGAUCAAAAUUGCUCGGGUUAAGGUAAGUGUUAUUAUAACAAUGAGAAACUGACAAUGAUAUAGAUUGGUGGUAAUUUGUGUUCUCUCCUUGUGCUGUUGAAUCGUUUUAAAACUUUUCUCAAUAUCAUUUCGCCACUGGCAUAUAGCGAGAGUAAACAGUCAGUCAAAAAGGUAAUUUUCUGCAAUCCCCGGAAAAACAAUGCCUUUUUGCUUGGAAACGUUGUUCGCUUAUAUUUUGCAUCUUAUUGUGUCUAAAUAUUAUUGUCCUUAUUUGUUAUUAAGCUUGUUUAACCAUUGUGUCCGAAUCAGCUUGUUGGUUUUCUGUCCACAGCUUUCCUGAGUUUUCCUCCUCAUCCUUGGUACGAAUCAGCUAAAAUCAGGCUGAUCGAGAAAGCUUCUUUUUCGUUUUGAGUGGAAUCAGAUUCUACGAAGACCCAUGGGAGAAAACAAAGCACAAAACAAUACUCUCUAAGUGCCUCAACAUCCAGUGAACAAAAAGUGAAAAUAGGGUGAUAAAUGUUUAAGUUAGUGGGUGGAUUUGUGAAGCAUCGUAAUGAUACAUAUUACUUAAGAGACUGAAAGUUCCAACUAUAUUCAGUUUGCUGGCUUUCACUCCAAAAACCCCCUUGCUUGAGGUUUGGUCUAAUUGUCUGGAUGCUUCCAUCAAUUUCCUCGACCCCUCGGCCUUUUUCAACAGCUUGAGGCAAUUGAGAUUCAACCUAAUUAUCUUCUGACUUCAUUCUUGAGGGAUUAUGUUUGAAUAACAAUCUAACAAUACUUGUUAAGUACGUAUAGAUUAAUACGAGCAUAUAAGUUGUAUAUUUAAUAUGUAGACAUUACUUGUUAGAGAAUAAUGUGCGUUCUUAAACUAAUUAUAUUA